rnacentral:rRNA from 1 species
GGGAGGCAGCAGUGAGGUAAUAUUGGACAAUGGACGAAAGUCUGAUCCAGCUAUGCCGCGUGCAGGAUGACGGCCCUAUGGGUUGUAAACUGCUUUUAUACAGGAAGAAAAACUCCGACGUGUCGGAACUUGACGGUACUGUAAGAAUAAGGAUCGGCUAACUCCGUGCCAGCAGCCGCGGUAAUACGGAGGAUCCAAGCGUUAUCCGGAAUCAUUGGGUUUAAAGGGUCCGUAGGCGGUUUUUUAAGUCAGAGGUGAAAUCCUGCAGCUCAACUGUAGAAUUGCCUUUGAUACUGAAAGACUUGAGUUAUUGUGAAGUGGUUAGAAUGUGUGGUGUAGCGGUGAAAUGCAUAGAUAACACACAGAAUACCAAUUGCGAAGGCAGAUCACUAACAAUAUACUGACGCUCAGG